CGAACGCUGGCGGCGUGCUUAACACAUGCAAGUCGAACGGAGAACUUUCUUCGGAAUGUUCUUAGUGGCGAACGGGUGAGUAACGCGUAGGCAACCUGCCCUCUGGUUGGGGACAACAUUCCGAAAGGGAUGCUAAUACCGAAUGAGAUCCUCUUUCCGCAUGGAGAGAGGAUGAAAGAUGGCCUCUACUUGUAAGCUAUCGCCAGAAGAUGGGCCUGCGUCUGAUUAGCUUGUAGGUGAGGUAACGGCUCACCUAGGCGAUGAUCAGUAGCCGGUCUGAGAGGAUGAACGGCCACAUUGGGACUGAGACACGGCCCAAACUCCUACGGGAGGCAGCAGUGGGGAAUCUUCCGCAAUGGACGAAAGUCUGACGGAGCAACGCCGCGUGAGUGAUGAAGGCCUUCGGGUUGUAAAACUCUGUUGUCAGGGACGAAAGCACCGAUCUAUAAUACAUUUUGGUGUUGACGGUACCUGACGAGGAAGCCACGGCUAACUACGUG
rnacentral:rRNA from 1 species